rnacentral:rRNA from 1 species
ACUGUGCUAGGCUACCAGGCGACGACGGGUAGCCGGCCUGAGAGGGCGACCGGCCACACUGGGACUGAGACACGGCCCAGACUCCUACGGGAGGCAGCAGUGGGGAAUAUUGCGCAAUGGGCGGAAGCCUGACGCAGCGACGCCGCGUGAGGGAUGACGGCCUUCGGGUUGUAAACCUCUUUCAGCAGGGACGAAGCGCAAGUGACGGUACCUGCAGAAGAAGCACCGGCCAACUACGUGCCAGCAGCCGCGGCCGA